rnacentral:rRNA from 1 species
CAGCAGCCACGGUAAUACGGAGGGAGCUAGCGCUGUUCGGAAUUACUGGGCGUAAAGCGCACGUAGGCGGCUUUGUAAGUUAGAGGUGAAAGCCUGGAGCUCAACUCCAGAAUUGCCUUUAAGACUGCAUCGCUUGAAUCCAGGAGAGGUGAGUGGAAUUCCGAGUGUAGAGGUGAAAUUCGUAGAUAUUCGCAAGAACACCAGUGGCGAAGGCGGCUCACUGGCCCGGAACUGACGCUGAGACGCGAAAGCGUGGGGAGCAAACAGGGUUAGAUACCCCAGUAGUCCCUGUCUCUUAUAC